rnacentral:rRNA from 1 species
UACGUAGGGUGCAAGCGUUGUCCGGAAUUAUUGGGCGUAAAGAGCUCGUAGGCGGUUCGUCGCGUCGGCUGUGAAAUCCCGAGGCUCAACCUCGGGUCUGCAGUCGAUACGGGCGGACUGGAGUUCGGCAGGGGAGACUGGAAUUCCUGGUGUAGCGGUGAAAUGCGCAGAUAUCAGGAGGAACACCGGUGGCGAAGGCGGGUCUCUGGGCCGAUACUGACGCUGAGGAACGAAAGCUAGGGGAGCAAACAGG